CGCAGGACGCACACAAAAGGAGCCCGGGCUUGGGCUUCCAGGGACGGGCUGAGGACCACCCGGCCGAGAGCGGUCAGAUCCGGGCUUUCUGCUCUUCUAAGAAGUAAAGACCUUUCGUGAAGCUGAGCUUGGUGGCCACUGCAAUGAGAGUCGCCUGUGUGCCUAACACAGGAGGGCAAGAGCACACUAGGGAAUGCAGCCGGCCUCAGAUGCCAUCUGUUCCUGUGAAGUGGGACACCCACCCCAUCAAACACCAGUGUUGCCUGCCCUUCUACUUCCCAUCAUGACCUCCACAGCACAGGGGCAGGCCCUCACCGGAAGCUGAGUAGAUGCUGGCACCAUGCUCUUGGCUUUCUAGUCACCAGAACUGAGCUGGGGAUUGAACCCAAGGCCUCCUGCAUGCUACGGAAGUGCUGUGUCCCUGAGCUCCACCCUCACCCUCCAGGAUGUUUUCAUGCAAACCUUGUCUGAUGUCUGAAGGUGAACACAUUGUCUCCUCAAACACUAUUUUUUUGUGGUAAAAACAUACAAACUAUUUUUUCUAGUUUUUUUUUGAAAUAGAUAGUACAUUAUUGUUAUCUACAGUCAUCUUAUUGUACAACAGCACCCCAGAACUUCUUGCUCCUAUUUAACGAUAAUGGUACCUAUUCAUCAACCUCUCCCCAUCCUUCCCAGCCCCCUUCUUUCUCCAGCCCCUUGGUAGCCACUGUGCUCCUCUCAACAUCUUUGAGAUCAACUGUUUUAGGUUCCACCUAUGAAUGAGAUGAUGUGGUGCCUGUCUUUCUGUUCCUGGCUUAUUCCCUUUAACAUAACGAUUUCUAGUUCCUUCCACGUUGCCUCCAAUGAGAGGAUUUUAUUCCCUUAUAAGAUUGACUAGUAUUCCACUUAAGUGUGCAUGUAUGUGCAUGUGUAUCACAUUUUUUAAACUAUUUAUCAGUUUAUUCCGUAUCUUUGCUAUUGUAAGUAAUGCUGCACCCAAAAUGGAAAUGCAGGUAUCUCCUUGACACACUGAUUUCAUUUCUUUUGAGUAUAUAUCUAGUAGUGGGAUGGCUGGAUCAUAUGGUAGUUCCAUCUUUAGUUAUUUGAGGAGCCCCGUGCUGUUUUCCAUAAUGAUGUACUAAUUUACAAUCAUACCAUCGAUAUGCAAGUGUUCCCUUUUCCUGUUAAUGAGUCAUAUUCUCAAAGUACUGCUUUUGAAUGAAAUAUAAAAUAUACCAGGCCCUACAGACACCUGAUUUCUCAUGGAUGCUUCAUGUCUUGAGGUUUGUCGGGGACCAAAAUGCUUGGCUACUUUUGUUGAGCACUUUCUCUGUGACUGAUGAUAGCAAGGCACAGGGGUGGGUGUCCGAUUGUCCUUCCUGGGUUCUUCCCCCUUCAGUGCCAGCGCUGCUGAACAACUCUGGCCCAUUCACAAAUUCUUUUCAUCCAUUGUACUGGCUGCAGCAGACUGGU